rnacentral:ncRNA from 2 species
UUGGACGAGGGAGAUGGCAUUCCUCCCGCAUUCGCGAAACCGCCGCAACGGCUGAUGAUGCCUGCACCGCC